AUAAAGGGCUUCUGUCGUGAGUGGCACAUGUUAGGGCAGCUUGAUUGCUCUUUGUGUAGAAUCAAUGUCAAAAGAUUUCAGAAGGAUAAUUUUUUAUGGAGAUUUGUAUUUGGGCAGCUGGUGAUCAUUGGUCCUGGUGCCCCU
ensembl:snRNA